rnacentral:rRNA from 1 species
AUUGAACGCUGGCGGCAGGCCUAACACAUGCAAGUCGAGCGGAUGAAGGGAGCUUGCUCCUGGAUUCAGCGGCGGACGGGUGAGUAAUGCCUAGGAAUCUGCCUGGUAGUGGGGGAUAACGUCCGGAAACGGGCGCUAAUACCGCAUACGUCCUGAGGGAGAAAGUGGGGGAUCUUCGGACCUCACGCUAUCAGAUGAGCCUAGAUCGGAUUAGCUAGUUGGUGGGGUAAAGGCCUACCAAGGCGACGAUCCGUAACUGGUCUGAGAGGAUGAUCAGUCACACUGGAACUGAGACACGGUCCAGACUCCUACGGGAGGCAGCAGUGGGGAAUAUUGGACAAUGGGCGAAGGCCUGAUCCAGCCAUGCCGCGUGUGUGAAGAAGGUCUUCGGAUUGUAAAGCACUUUAAGUUGGGAGGAAGGGCAGUAAGUUAAUACCUUGCUGUUUUGACGUUACCAACAGAAUAAGCACCGGCUAACUUCGUG